UUUUCGUGUUUUUAUAAUAUUGUAUUUAAACUUUAAAGAAGUUCGUAUAAUUUUUCGUGUAUAAUUUAGAGUAAAACUUUCGGUGCCAUCGAACGUCUGUAUUGUUAACCAUUCGUAUGUAGAAGGCGGUUCUGAAUGCCUUUUCGUUAUUCGUCUGAUUUUCGUCAGCCGUUCCUGUUUGAUGGAUUGUAGUCCGAUCGUAUCCAAAAACCGUUUUUUUGUAAUAUUCAUUGCUUUCUUUUCUGUUUUUAGCUCAGCUUGCAGCGUGUUCGCAGCUGCGGUCGAAGCAUACGGUGCACACUCAUGUUUCAUGUUUUGUGCUGUAUAAAUUUAAUUCAUGUUCUAGUGAAUUUUUACGCUGUCCGGGCGUUUGUUGUUCUAACAGUCAGUGUUGAGAGUUAGUAUUGUACUAUUGUGCAUUUUGUUCGUCUGUUGUUUGUGGCGAAGUGGUUGCUCAGAUUAAAUCGGCCACUCAAUACAUUCACAUGUUAGUGACCUGCCCCAGCUUAGAGGUAAAAUUCGCUCAAAACCAUGAACAAGAUUUUAAAAAUAGUGUUGGUGAUAACAUCUUGAUUAAGUGUACCUAUUAUGGUUUGAGAAACAAGAACAAUUUUCAUACGUUACCCAUUAAUCAUGGCGCUAUCCAUCA